rnacentral:tRNA from 2 species
GCCAUCUUAGCUCAGUUGGCAGAGCACGUGACUUGUAAUCUCGAGGUCUUCGGUUCGAUUCCGAAAGAUGGCU